UUCCAUUCACCUUAAUAUGUUUUUAUCUUUCACAUCAGGCUUUGAUAGUGGGAGUAGUAGCAAUAGCAAUAAUGCUGUGGCAUGUAAAUAAGACGAAGAGUGUGCUGAAUUCACCUCAGGAUGACUCCAAGGCAGACAACAAGGGAAAUGAGGGUCAUGGUGACAAGGUUCAAAAGAAGCCUCACCCCUGCCCUGGUGAUGCACUUGCUUCUACACCACAACCAGAACCACAGGCCCGAAACCCGGCUCAAGGAUCUCCUGCUUCUUUGUGUGAUGGCCAGAAGGAACCAGAAGGAAAAAGAGAGGAAAUAUCAUCAGAUGAAAUCAUGAUACAGGAUAUAAUUAAAAUACUGGAAUCAAUUCCUCCCCAGGUGUGGGCAGACCUCAUUGAAACAUGCAAUCAAAGGUUGGAGGAAAACGAAAGGAUGCUCAGACAAAGAGAAGAAGAGAUAAAAAAGUCUGAAGAUGAGCUUCUAAACAUCCAAAAGAAAAGGAAAGGUAUUGAAGAGAGCACUGUGCAAAUGGAAGAAUUCAAAAAGGAUGGAAAUAAGCUAGAAAAUGAGAAGAAAGAGCUGGAAAGGAAGAGGGAUAACUUUAAAGAGGAGAGGGAUAAGCUUCUAAAGGAAAUGAAAAAACUAAUAUUCUUCAAAGAAAUUAUUGAGAAACCAAUUAAUGAUCCAAAGGUUAGUGGUGCAAUGUGUCUUUUUAAACAAUUAUAUUACAUGUAAAAGAAAAGAAUGA
rnacentral:lncRNA from 1 species